rnacentral:rRNA from 1 species
CACUCCUGCGGGAGGCAGCAGUGGGGAAUUUUGGACCAUGGGCGAAAGCCUGAUCCAGCAAUGCCGCGUGAGUGAAGAAGGCCUUCGGGUUGUAAAGCUCUUUUGUCAGGGAAGAAACGGUGAGAGCUAAUAUCUUUUGCUAAUGACGGUACCUGAAGAAUAAGCACCGGCUAACUACGUGCCAGCAGCCGCGGUAAUACGUAGGGUGCAAGCGUUAAUCGGAAUUACUGGGCGUAAAGCGUGCGCAGGCGGUUUUGUAAGUCUGAUGUGAAAUCCCCGGGCUCAACCUGGGAAUUGCAUUGGAGACUGCAAGGCUAGAAUCUGGCAGAGGGGGGUAGAAUUCCACGUGUAGCAGUGAAAUGCGUAGAUAUGUGGAGGAACACCGAUGGCGAAGGCAGCCCCCUGGGUCAAGAUUGACGCUCAUGCACGAAAGCGUGGGGAGCAAACAGGAUUAGAAACCCCGGUAGUCCCAU